rnacentral:rRNA from 1 species
UGGGGAAUAUUGGACAAUGGGCGAAAGCCUGAUCCAGCCAUGCCGCGUGUGUGAAGAAGGCCUUUUGGUUGUAAAGCACUUUAAGUGGGGAGGAAAAGCUUAUGGUUAAUACCCAUAAGCCCUGACGUUACCCACAGAAUAAGCACCGGCUAACUCUGUGCCAGCAGCCGCGGUAAUACAGAGGGUGCAAGCGUUAAUCGGAAUUACUGGGCGUAAAGCGCGCGUAGGUGGUUAUUUAAGUCAGAUGUGAAAGCCCCGGGCUUAACCUGGGAACUGCAUCUGAUACUGGAUAACUAGAGUAGGUGAGAGGGGAGUAGAAUUCCAGGUGUAGCGGUGAAAUGCGUAGAGAUCUGGAGGAAUACCGAUGGCGAAGGCAGCUCCCUGGCAUCAUACUGACACUGAGGUGCGAAAGCGUGGGUAGCAAACAGGAUUAGAUACCCUGGUAGUCCACGCCGUAAACGAUGUCUACCAGUCGUUGGGUCUUUUAAAGACUUAGUGACGCGGUUAACGCAAUAAGUAGACCGCCUGGGGAGUACGGCCGCAAGGUUA